rnacentral:rRNA from 1 species
CCCUUAGAUGUCCGGGGCUGCACGCGCGCUACACUGAAGGAAUCAGCGUGCUAAAACCAUUGUCGAAAGGCAUUGGUAAACCCAUUAAAAUCCUACGUGAUUGGGAUCGGGAAUUGCAAUUAUUUCCCUUGAACGAGGAAUUCCCAGCAAGUGUGGGUCAUAAGCUCGCGUUGAUUACGUCCCUGCCCUUUGUACACACCGCCCGUCGCUGCCCGGGACUGAGCCGUUUCGAGAAAAGCGGGGACUGCUGCUGUCGGGGCUUUCGGGCCUUGGCUUCGGUGGAAACCGCUUUAAUCGCAGUGGCUUGAACCGGGCAAAAGUCGUAACA